AUUGAACGCUGGCGGCAGGCCUAACACAUGCAAGUCGAGCGGAAACGGCAGUAUUGAAGCUUCGGUGGAUUUACUGGACGUCGAGCGGCGGACGGGUGAGUAACGGCUGGGAACCUGCCCUGACGAGGGGGAUAACCGUUGGAAACGACGGCUAAUACCGCAUAAUGUCUACGGACCAAAGGUGGCCUCUACAUGUAAGCUAUCGCGUUGGGAUGGGCCCAGUUAGGAUUAGCUAGUUGGUAAGGUAACGGCUUACCAAGGCGACGAUCCUUAGCUGGUUUGAGAGGAUGAUCAGCCACACUGGGACUGAGACACGGCCCAGACUCCUACGGGAGGCAGCAGUGGGGAAUAUUGCACAAUGGGGGAGACCCUGAUGCAGCCAUGCCGCGUGUGUGAAGAAGGCCUUCGGGUUGUAAAGCACUUUCAGCAGUGAGGAGGGUAGUGUACUUAAUACGUGCAUUGCUUGACGUUAGCUGCAGAAGAAGCACCGGCUAACUCCGUGCCAGCAGCCGCGGUAAUACGGAGGGUGCGAGCGUUAAUCGGAAUUACUGGGCGUAAAGCGCAUGCAGGCGGUUUGUUAAGUCAGAUGUGAAAGCCCGGGGCUCAACCUCGGAACCGCAUUUGAAACUGGCAGGCUAGAGUCUUGUAGAGGGGGGUAGAAUUUCAGGUGUAGCGGUGAAAUGCGUAGAGAUCUGAAGGAAUACCAGUGGCGAAGGCGGCCCCCUGGACAAAGACUGACGCUCAGAUGCGAAGGCGUGGGUAGCAAACAGG
rnacentral:rRNA from 1 species